rnacentral:misc_RNA from 1 species
AGUUUAUAUUAGCUGUAAAAGCGUGAUCAACUCUUCAUAGCUACACAAAAAAAUCAUGGCGGACGAAGAUAAAAACGUUGAAAAAGAUAAUGAAAAUAAAGGGAAAAAGCAUGAUUCUGGUACGGCUGAUCUCGAGAAGGUUACGGACUUUGAGGAAGAAAAGGAAAUCUCUCCUCAAAGCAUACAAGACGCUAUGAAAAUUGUGGCUGAAAAGCAACGAAAAGUGAAUGAAGAGAAAUUACUCCGAGAAAAGGAAUUAGCUCGAGUCAAAGUUAAUAAGGAAGACGUCGAAUUAAUAAUGAAUGAAAUGGAAAUUUCGCGCCAGCUCGCUGAGAGAAAAUUAAAAGAGCAUAAAAGUGAUUUGGUACCGGCUUUACGAGAUUUGUUAAAUUAACAAUCACCAGGUUGUUUCAUGUUAAAAUUUUAGAUAUCUGUUAAUAUGCCUUAGGAAAGAAGAAGGAAAUAUAUACUACUAUUAAGUCAUUAUCAAAAUGUCAAAACGACUCUUUAGAAUCUAUAUUCUUCUCUUGUCGUAACGCUAUCUUUCCGUCGUUAAUUGCAUGCACAAUGCAUAUUAGCGUUUAUUUAGGAAAAUUGUGCAAAAUUAAAGAUUGAAAAAGGAACUCUGACAAAGAAUUUGAGCUACUACUACUGGUCUCUCCGAGUAAUUAGUUUCAAUGUAACUAUUCGUUGCUAUUUGAACAUCUAAAUUAUUCAUAAUGCUGCAACAGCAAAAAACGAAGAAGAAGAGAGAAUUCCGUUAAUAAUGAUUAUGCAAUAUUGUUGAACGAAAUGCAGGUCAAGAAAAUGAUUUUGGAAGUUAGAUAAAAAAAACAAUCAACAAUUAUUAAAACAUUUAUUCCUAACCCGUAAAAAUGACGUCAUGGUUUAGAAUAAUAGAUUUCUUUUUCUUCUCUUACCUUUCUU